UACGUAGGGUGCGAGCGUUGUCCGGAAUUAUUGGGCGUAAAGAGCUUGUAGGCGGUUUGUCGCGUCUGCUGUGAAAAUCCGGGGCUCAACCCCGGACUUGCAGUGGGUACGGGCAGACUAGAGUGUGGUAGGGGAGACUGGAAUUCCUGGUGUAGCGGUGAAAUGCGCAGAUAUCAGGAAGAACACCCGUGGCGAAGGCGGCUCUCGGGAACGCAACUGACGCUGAGACGCGAAAGCGUGGGGAGCAAACAGG
rnacentral:rRNA from 1 species